GGUAAAGGCCUACCAAGGCGACGAUCAGUAGCUGGUCUGAGAGGACGAUCCAGCCACACUGGGACUGAGACACUGCUCAGACUCCUACGGGAGGCAGCAGUGGGGAAUUUUGGACAAUGGGCGAAAGCCUGAUCCAGCAAUGCCGCGUGUGUGAAGAAGGCCUUCGGGUUGUAAAGCACUUUUGUCCGGAAAGAAAUCCUUGGCUCUAAUACAGUCGGGGGAUGACGGUACCGGAAGAAUAAGCACCGGCUAACUACGUGCCAGCAGCCGCGGUAAUACGUAGGGUGCGAGCGUUAAUCGGAAUUACUGGGCGUAAAGCGUGCGCAGGCGGUCUGUUAAGACAGAUGUGAAAUCCCCGGGCUCAACCUGGGAACUGCAUUUGUGACUGGCAGGCUAGAGUAUGGCAGAGGGGGGUAGAAUUCCACGUGUAGCAGUGAAAUGCGUAGAGAUGUGGAGGAAUACCGAUGGCGAAGGCAGCCCCCUGGGCCAAUACUGACGCUCAUGCACGAAAGCGUGGGGAGCAAACAGGAUUAGAUACCCUGGUAGUCCACGCCCUAAACGAUGUCAACUAGUUGUUGGGGAUUCAUUUCCUUAGUAACGUAGCUAACGCGUGAAGUUGACCGCCUGGGGAGUACGGUCGCAAGAUUAAAACUCAAAGGAAUUGACGGGGACCCGCACAAGCGGUGGAUGAUGUGGAUUAAUUCGAUGCAACGCGAAAAACCUUACCUACCCUUGACAUGGUCGGAAUCCUGAAGAGAUUCGGGAGUGCUCGAAAGAGAACCGAUACACAGGUGCUGCAUGGCUGUCGUCAGCUCGUGUCGUGAGAUGUUGGGUUAAGUCCCGCAACGAGCGCAACCCUUGUCCUUAGUUGCUACGCAAGAGCACUCUAAGGAGACUGCCGGUGACAAACCGGAGGAAGGUGGGGAUGACGUCAAGUCCUCAUGGCCCUUAUGGGUAGGGCUUCACACGUCAUACAAUGGUCGGAACAGAGGGUUGCCAACCCGCGAGGGGGAGCUAAUCCCAGAAAACCGAUCGUAGUCCGGA
rnacentral:rRNA from 1 species